rnacentral:rRNA from 1 species
UAAUACGUAGGGGGCAAGCGUUGUCCGGAAUCAUUGGGCGUAAAGAGCGUGUAGGCGGUCCGGUAAGUCGGCUGUGAAAGUCCAGGGCUCAACCCUGGGAUGCCGGUCGAUACUGCCGGACUAGAGUUCGGAAGAGGCGAGUGGAAUUCCCGGUGUAGCGGUGAAAUGCGCAGAUAUCGGGAGGAACACCUAUGGCGAAGGCAGCUCGCUGGGACGUUACUGACGCUGAGACGCGAAAGCGUGGGGAGCAAACAGGAUUAGAUACCCUGGUAGUCCACGCUGUAAACGAUGGGCACUAGGUGUGGGGGGUGUCGACUCCCUCCGUGCCGAAGCUAACGCAUUAAGUGCCCCGCCUGGGGAGUACGGCCGCAAGGCUA